rnacentral:rRNA from 1 species
GGUUUCCGUAGGUGAACCUGCGGAAGGAUCAUUAACGCGCAGGCCGGAGGCUGGCCCCCCACGAUAGGAAUCAACGUUCCAUCAGGGGUGUGCAGAUGUGCGCCGGUCUUACGCCCCAUUCUUGUCUACCUUACUCGGUUGCCUCGGCGGGCCGCGCUCUCCUGGGAGAGUCGUCCGGCGAGCCUCUUUGGGGGCUUUAGCUGGAUCGCGCCCGCCGGAGGACAGACAUCAAAAAAUCUUGGAAAGCUGUCAGUCUGAGCGUUAGCAAGUAAAAUUAGUUAAAACUUUCAACAACGGAUCUCUUGGUUCCGGCAUCGAUGAAGAACGCAGCGAAAUGCGAUAAGUAAUGUGAAUUGCAGAAUUCCGUGAAUCAUCGAAUCUUUGAACGCACAUUGCGCCCUCUGGUAUUCCGGGGGGCAUGCCUGUUCGAGCGUCAUUUCAACCCCUCAAGCCCGGCUUGUGUGAUGGACGACCGUCCGACCUCCUCUUUCGGGGGCGGGACGCGCCCGAAAAGCAGUGGCCAGGCCGCGAUCCCGGCUUCCUGGGCGAAUGGGCAGUCAAACCAGCGCCCUCAGGACCGGCCGCUCUGGCCUUCCCCCAAAUCUCUCUGAGAUAUUUUUUCAGGUUGACCUCGGAUCAGGUAGGGAUACCCGCUGAACUUAAGCAUAUCAAUAA